GGUCCUCGGGCAAUGAGGACUAAUGUGGCCGUGUCUGAGCACAGAUCAGAUUUGACUAGGGGAUAAACGGAGCCCCGCCGGAGGACAAACUGAGCCGGUCCUCCUCGGAGCAGAGGGUCUGCAGCCGGGGACUCUCCCCUUGGGCUGGGAUGCUGCCCAGGGUAACUCCUCAAGGUCAAGAGCUCUCUCCUAAGGGUUGCAUAACUGGCUACUGUCAGACCCACAAUUCGGCUGAACGCCAAGACCCUCGGCCAGUGAGGACAAAUGAUCGUGUUUUUGACCACAGAUUGGAGUCGGCUACGGUAUAAGCGGGGUCCUUCCAGAGGACAGAUUGAGUCGGUCCUCCUCAAAGUGGGAACGGCACUGCCAAGAGAUUGUUAGCACCAGCCAGAUGAGUUAGUACAAGGUACAGACAUCUCGCCCGGCCCCGUGAUGA